rnacentral:rRNA from 1 species
UAUGUGAUCGUCUCUCGCAUAUCAAUAAGCGGAGGAAAAGAAACUAACAAGGAUUCCCUUAGUAACGGCGAGUGAAGCGGGAAGAGCUCAAAUUUGAAAUCUUCAAGGUUUUACCUUGACGAAUUGUAGUUUAAAGAAGUGUUUUCUGUUGAAGUUUUGGUAAAAGUUCUUUGGAAUAGGACAUCAUAGAGGGUGAGAAUCCCGUAUUUGACCAUUAUUUUCAGCUGUGUGAUACACUUUCAAAGAGUCGGAUUGUUUGGGAAUGCAGUCCAAAAUGGGUGGUAAAUUUCAUCUAAAGCUAAAUAUUGGCGAGAGACCGAUAGCGAACAAGUACCGUGAGGGAAAGAUGAAAAGAACUUUGAAAAGAGGGUUAAACAGUACGUGAAAUUGUCAAAAGGGAAGCGUUUGACACCAGUGUUGUUUUCUCGAAAAUCAAUUAAAAAGAGUUUAGAUUUUGUUGUGUAUUGACCUUAACAGCUUGCAUUUCAAUUUUCUUGCUUUUUUUAGUGCACUUUUCGUUUAACAAGUCAACAUCAGUUUCUUUUGUUGUAAAAAGGUCAUUGGAAGGUGGCUUUCUUUUCGGAGAAAGUGUUUAUAGCCUUUGACUCCUGCAAUCGGAGAGACUGAGGUCUGCAGCGUAGAUCCUUCGGGGUUAGAUACAUUUGUGCUAAGUUAUAGCUUUUUAUAGACAACUUGUUGACUAUGAUUAGUCUUGUAGCUUACUCGCUUAUGCUAUUUUACCUACGCUUAGGAUGUUGAAGAUGUAGCACAUCAU